rnacentral:rRNA from 1 species
AUGCCUUACACAUGCAAGUCGAACGGCAGCGGGGGUAGCUUGCUACCUGCCGGCGAGUGGCGAACGGGUGAGUAAUACAUCGGAACGUGCCCUGUAGUGGGGGAUAACUAGUCGAAAGACUGGCUAAUACCGCAUACGACCUGAGGGUGAAAGUGGGGGCCGCAAGGCCUCAUGCUAUAGGAGCGGCCGAUGUCUGAUUAGCUAGUUGGUGGGGUAAAGGCCCACCAAGGCGACGAUCAGUAGCUGGUCUGAGAGGACGAUCAGCCACACUGGGACUGAGAGACGGCCCAG